UUUUUGCAUUAUCAAUAAGCGGAGGAAAAGAAACCAACAGGGAUUGCCUUAGUAGCGGCGAGUGAAGCGGCAAAAGCUCAAAUUUGAAAUCUGGCACCUUCGGUGUCCGAGUUGUAAUUUGAAGAUUGUAACCUUGGGGUUGGCUCUUGUCUAUGUUUCUUGGAACAGGACGUCACAGAGGGUGAGAAUCCCGUGCGAUGAGAUGCCCAAUCCUAUGUAAGGUGCUUUCGAAGAGUCGAGUUGUUUGGGAAUGCAGCUCUAAGUGGGUGGUAAAUUCCAUCUAAAGCUAAAUAUUGGCGAGAGACCGAUAGCGAACAAGUACAGUGAUGGAAAGAUGAAAAGAACUUUGAAAAGAGAGUGAAAAAGUACGUGAAAUUGUUGAAAGGGAAGGGUUUGAGAUCAGACUCGAUAUUUUGUGAGCCUUGCCUUCGUGGCGGGGUGACCCGCAGCUUAUCGGGCCAGCAUCGGUUUGGGCGGUAGGAUAAUGGCGUAGGAAUGUGACUUUGCUUCGGUGAAGUGUUAUAGCCUGCGUUGAUGCUGCCUGCCUAGACCGAGGACUGCGAUUUUAUCAAGGAUGCUGGCAUAAUGAUCCCAAACCGCCCGUCUUGAAACACGGACCAAA
rnacentral:rRNA from 1 species